UACAGAGGGGGCAAGCGUUGUUCGGAAUUACUGGGCGUAAAGGGCGCGUAGGCGGCCUUCUAAGUCGAACGUGAAAUCCCUGGGCUCAACCCAGGAACUGCGUCCGAUACUGGAUGGCUUGGAUCCGGGAGAGGGAUGCGGAAUUCCAGGUGUAGCGGUGAAAUGCGUAGAUAUCUGGAGGAACACCGGUGGCGAAGGCGGCAUCCUGGACCGGUAUUGACGCUGAGGAGCGAAAGCCAGGGGAGCAAACGGG
rnacentral:rRNA from 1 species